rnacentral:rRNA from 1 species
UACGGGGGGGGCAAGCGUUGUUCGGAAUUACUGGGCGUAAAGGGCUCGUAGGUGGCCAACUAAGUCAGACGUGAAAUCCCUCGGCUUAACCGGGGAACUGCGUCUGAUACUGGAUGGCUUGAGUUUGGGAGAGGGACGCGGAAUUCCAGGUGUAGCGGUGAAAUGCGUAGAUAUCUGGAGGAACACCGGUGGCGAAGGCGGCCUGCUGGGCAGUAGCUGACGCUGAAGCGCGACAGCGUGGGGAGCAAACAGG